GCUCGUGUCGUGAGAUGUUGGGUUAAGUCCCGCAACGAGCGCAACCCUUGAUCGAUGUUACCAGCGCGUAAAGGCGGGGACUCAUCGAUGACUGCCGGUGACAAACCGGAGGAAGGCGGGGAUGACGUCAAAUCAUCAUGCCCCUUAUGUCCUGGGCUACACACGUGCUACAAUGGGCGGUACAACGGGAAGCGAGACCGCGAGGUGGAGCGAAACCCAAAAAGCCGUUCAUAGUUCGGAUUGCAGGCUGCAACUCGCCUGCAUGAAGCCGGAAUUGCUAGUAAUCGCGGAUCAGCAUGCCGCGGUGAAUACGUUCCCGGGCCUUGUACACACCGCCCGUCACACCACGAGAGUGGGUAACACCCGAAGUCGGUGAGGUAACCCGCAAGGGGGCCAGCCGCCGAAGGUGGGAUUCGCGAUUGGGGUGAAGUCGUAACAAGGUAGCCGUAUCGGAAGGUGCGGCUGGAUCACCUCCUUUCUAAGGA
rnacentral:rRNA from 1 species